CUUCUCUUCUCCCCUUCCCUCCGGUUUCUUGCUUUGACCAAUGAGUGGAAAAAUCCCUUUUCCGCACUGCUCCAGGCUGAUGAAGAGGCGUCGCUCUGCCCGCUGCUGCUGCUCGCCCCGAGCACUUGCAGCAACCGUCACGCUGCUCCCGGCGAUACCACUGCUGCGCUCCCACCUCGCUUCCCGAUGCGCCGCAUCCGUGCGGAGCAGGGGACACCUGGCUGGUGGCUCUUGGCAGGGGUGAACGAUGCCACUGAUCCCAUCACAGCACCUGCCCCAAGGCGCUUAGCCAACACCUUCGCGAUUCCAGCAUCUUUCAGAGCAGGAAUUCCUUCCUGCACAGCUUCAGCGGAAGUGUUUUUUUUUUAAUAGACCGCAAAUUAAAAAGCAAAUCAAUAUUCAUCUCUAGAGUGUUUUAUUUGCAGCCUCAAGUUGGCUGUUGUAUUUGCUUCAGCUCUGCAAGAACCUGCCUGGAAAGCAGCUGGGGAGGGAGCCGCGCCACCAGGAAAGCCGGAAAAGCUGUGCGGGAGCCCGGCAAGCGGCCGGGUGGAUCUGCAAGGACAUGGCGCGAAAAGCACUGCGUUUCCCAUGCUCCCAGGCCGCGGCCAGGUGGAUCCGCAGGGAUACAGCAUGGAAAGCGCUGCAUCUCCCACGGGCACAGGCUGUGGCUGGGUAGAUCCACAGGGACACGGCAUGGAAAGCGCCGCGUCUCCCGCAGGCACAAGCUGCAGCUGGGUGGAUCCGCAGGGACACGGCGCAGAAAGCGCUGCGUUUCCCACGGUCCUGGGCUGCAGCCGGGUGGAUCCGCAGGGACACGGCGCAGAAAGCGCUGCGUUUCCCAUGGUCCUGGGCUGCAGCCAGGUGGAUCCGCAGGGACACGGCGCGGAAAGCGCCGCAUUUCCCAUGGUCCCGGGCCACGGCCAGGUGGAUCCACAGGGAUAGGGCAUGGAAAGCGCUGCGUCGCCCGCGGUCAUGGGCUGCGGCCGGGAGGGCAGAGGAGCCGCGCCUCAGCCGGGCAGCCGAGUGCUUCCCUCUCCGGACGAGGUCCGCCCGGCAUGUGCCACCAAUCCCGGACUCUCUCUGGGUGAGCAGCCUCCGCUCCAGGCCCUACUCGCUCCCCCUUGCAUGGAUGGUCCUUGGCCUCCCCCGUCCCAGGGAGCUGGGCGGCCCUGCUCCGUGUGCCCUGCUCGCCCCGGGCAUCUCCCCUCCGACACCCCGG
rnacentral:lncRNA from 1 species